rnacentral:misc_RNA from 1 species
GGAGGAGCUUUCUUGUCGUAGGAGGCUGAGAUAUAUGGAUACGGCUCCAAUGAAACUGGAACAUAAGGCCACAUCUCUACCUUCUUCUUCGUUGCUUGUGCUGCCUUCAGCACUUUCUUUGGCUCUAUGUAACCUGUCACUGUCACCUUCAUUUGCUUCACAUCCACAUCUACUUUCUUGGCCCCUUUUACAUGAGACAUGAUUUGCUUCAUCUUGCGACCGCAACCCUCACAGUCCA